UACGUAGGCAGCAAGCGUUGUUCGGAAUUACUGGGCGUAAAGAGUGUGUAGGUGGUGUCGUAAGUUUGGUGUGAAAUCUCCCGGCUUAACUGGGAGGGUGCGCCGAAGACUGCGAUGCUGGAGUAUGGGAGAGGAAAGCGGAAUUCCUGGUGUAGCGGUGAAAUGCGUAGAUAUCAGGAGGAACACCGGAGGCGAAGGCGGAUCACUGGACUGCCACUGACGCUGAGGCGCGAGAGCGUGGGUAGCAAACAGG
rnacentral:rRNA from 1 species